CUCACCUUUCGUCAACACCUCUGUGCGAGCCAUACCGUACUGUCUAGACCAACUGUAAGCUCCUAUACCACGCUGUUCCACGACCUCUCACCUUUCACCUGUCAAAAUAAGCCUUUAUAAGUCCCACAUAAUACUGCAGCCAACCCUCCCCAUCACACAACUACUUCCCUUUCCUAUGACCUCUCACCUUUCACCUCUCAUCAACAUCCACUAGCCUAUAGUGUCUCCCAUGACCUCUCACCUGUCCUCUGUUUCCAGUACAGGUACAUUAGAGUGAACAUCUCUAAGCUCCUUCAAUGCCUUUGUUUGCAUUGUUAUCAGUGUUAGCAUGUUAUUGUGAGUGUGUUGGUGUGUUUAGCGUUAACUCACUCCUUUUUCAAAGUGGUCUGUUGUGGUUAUCGAUGGUUGUGUGUGUGUGUGUGUGUGUGUGUGUGUGUGUGUCUUGGCCACACUGAGCCUGGAGUGUAGGUCAGAGGUGUGGGUCGGAGGUGUAGGUCAGAGGUGUGGGUCGGAGGUGCAGGUCAGAGGUGCAGGUCAGAGGUGCGGGUCGGAGGUGCGGGUCGGAGGUGCGGGUCGGAGGUGCGGGUCGGAGGUGCGGGUCGGAGGUGCGGGUCGGAGGUGCUGGUCAGAGGUGCUGGUCAGAGGUGCGGGUCAGAGGUGCGGGUCAGAGGUGCGGGUCGGAGGUGUAGUAGAGGUGUAGUAGAGGCGUAGCAGAGGCGUAGUAGAGGCGUAGUAGAGGCGUAGUAGAGGCGUAGUAGAGGCGUAGUAGAGGCGUAGUAGAGGCGUAGUAGAGGCGUAGUAGAGGCGUAGUAGAGGCGUAGUAGAGGCGUAGCAGAGGCGUAGCAGAGGCGUAGCAGAGGCAUAGUAGAGGCGUAGUAGAGGUGUAGUAUAGGGUAAAUGAAAGUAAACACAUUUUACCCACCUUUCAAUAAUGCAUUGAAAGAAAAGGAAGCGUUACUUUUCCACUGCGAUCAGAGUUUACCCACCUAUUUUCUGACCACUACAUCACGGGUGUAGAUGGAUGUUUGAUCUGUAAAAGACCCACUUUAUCUUUCUCUCUCUGCAGUCUCUGACAGCGAUGGGUGAUUGAUGAGGGCUGUUUACAUAGAGCUCUGUGGAGCCCAGCCCUGCUCACAGUGUGUGUGUGUGUGUGUGUGUGUGUGUGUGUGUGUGUGUGUGUGUGUGUGUGUGUGUGUGUGUGUGUGUGUGUGUGUGUGUGUGUGUGUGUGUGUGUGUGUGUGUGUGUGUGUGUACGCGCGCGCAUCUCAGCUUUAUGGGUGUGUGUGCAUCUCUCAGCUAUGUGUGUAUUAGUGUUGGCUCUGUCCAUGGCUCUCUCCCAGUCCCACGCAGGUAGACGUUGCCAGAGCCAUCUACCCCAGCCACAGUGCCUGUCUGUCCCCACAGCCUCCCCUUGGAUUCCAGUUCCUGGAGCUUUAAAAUAGACCUAGACGGACAGUUAGAUUUACCAUAGACAUGCACUGUACACCACUGGAUCCUUAAAAGCAUUAUUCUGUAUAGUGUUCCCAUGUGGAUUUACUGGGCUAUAUGAGUAUGGUCACGGCCCAAAUGUGGCACCGUAUUCCCUAUAUAUUGCAUGGGCCCUGGUCAAACAUGUGCACUAUAAAGGAAUAGGUUGCCAUUUGGGAAGCAUACUAUGAGUGAGGUAAGUGCUAUUUGUGCUGGCUUCUCAUGUACAGAACACAGUACUAAUGUCCCCUUCCAGAAAGUGAGUCAGGGGACAGAUAAAGUGAGUCAGGGGAUAGAUAAAGUGAGUCAGGGGACAGAUAAAGUGAGUCAGGAGACAGGUAAAGUGAGUCAGGGGACAGAUAAAGUGAGUCAGGGGACAGAUAAAGUGAGUCAGGGGACAGGUAAAGUGAGUCAGGGGACAGAUAAAGUGAGUCAGGGGACAGAUAAAAGUGAGUCAGGGGACAGAUAAAAGUGAGUCAGGGGACAGAUAAAAGUGAGUCAGGGGACAGAUAAAAGUGAGUCAGGGGACAGAUAAAAGUGAGUCAGGGGACAGAUAAAGUGAGUCAGGGGACAGGUAAAGUGAGUCAGGGGACAGGUAAAGUGAGUCAGGGGACAGAUAAAGUGAGUCAGGAGACAGGUAAAGUGAGUCAGGGGACAGGUAAAGUGAGUCAGGGGACAGAUAAAGUGAGUCAGGGGACAGAUAAAGUGAGUCAGGGGACAGAUAAAGUGAGUCAGGGGACAGAAAGUGAGUCAGGGGACAGGUAAAGUGAGUCAGGAGACAGGUAACGUGAGUCAGGAGACAGGAUAAAGUGAGUCAGGGGACAGGUAAAGUGAGUCAGGGGACAGAUAAAGUGAGUCAGGGGACAGAUAAAGUGAGUCAGGGACAGAAAGUGAGUCAGGGGACAGAUAAAGUGAGUCAGGGGACAGGUAAAGUGAGUCAGGGGACAGGUAAAGUGAGUCAGGGGACAGGUAAAGUGAGUCAGGGGACAGAUAAAGUGAGUCAGGAGACAGGUAAAGUGAGUCAGGAGACAGGUAAAGUGAGUCAGGAGACAGGUAACGUGAGUCAGGGGACAGGAUAAAGUGAGUCAGGGGACAGGAUAAAGUGAGUCAGGGGACAUGUAAAAGUGAGUCGGGGACAGGUAAAAGUGAGUCAGGGGACAGGUAAAAGUGAGUCAGGGGACAGGUAAAAGUGAGUCAGGGGACAGGUAAAAGUGAGUCAGGGGACAGGUAAAAGUGAGUCAGGGGACAGGUAAAAGUGAGUCAGGGGACAGGUAAAAGUGAGUCAGGGGACAG